GGCUGAGGGAGAGGAAGUGUUACGCUUAAAAUUAUGACAGCUAGUAAAUGGCUUCCUCUCCCAAGUCUAGUGAUGCGAAAUCCAUUUUGAGUCUCAUUUCAAGUUGUCUCACAUCUGCCUUUAUGGUCCGUUUUUUUUAAAAAAUUGUUAAAUGAGGGGCCAGGUGAUUCCUACAGUCCAUCCCUCCUAGGCCUUCGUUCUGUGAGUUCUGAUUCUUAAGGGCUUUCACCUCUCUGUCUCCCCUUGUCUUCCCAGUGCUCUGGCCUGGGGAUGCCAGGGGCAUAGAGACAUUUGUUGACUUGCCCUUGGUGACACAGAAGGUCUCUGCCCCGCGCAAGCCUGGCACGCAGGUUCCCUGAUUUACAGCCCGGCACUGUGGGGUAGGUGUUUGCUGUUGGCCUCACCUGGCCCCUUUUCUUUGAUGAGAGCCUAUAGUUUCCCCCCUUCCUCUCUUGGUUUGGUGGGGCUGACUGACCCCUAGCUUUGGGGAUCAUCACAUGACUCUGGCCUGCCUAGUCAAAGUGAUUGGAACAAAAACAAGCUCAGGGUCCAAAGCGGGCCAAUGGUGGGCAGCUGCAAGUUUUGCCAGCCCUUUCCAGAGAGAAGUGUGCUUUCCGCUUGAGUUUGCUCAAGUGGUUGUUAUGGACUGAAUGUCUAUGUCUCCCUUAAAAUUCAUAUAUUGAAGCCCUGACUCCCAAUGUGACAGUGUUUGGAAAUAGGGCCCUCAGGGAAAUAAUUAAAGUUAAAUGAGGUCAUUAAGGGUAAGGCCCAAAUCCUAUAGGAUUAGUGUUCUUGUAAGAAGAGGAUGAGAUACCAGAAGCAUACUCUCCCCGACCCGGACGUGCACCCGCCGAGGAAAGACCAUAGGAAGACACAGAGAGAAAAUGGCCAUCUUUCUCUUUAGCAGUUCUUACCAGGAACCAAACCCUUCCAGAGCUUUUCUCUUAGACUUCCAAGCCUCCAGAACUAUGAGAAAUAAAUUUCUUUUGUUUAAGCCAGUCUCUUGUUAUGGCAGCAUGAAUUGACUAAGAUAGUAGUAAAAGACCAGCUGGGAGCUACUGGCCAUCAUCUCUGUCACCAAGGGAGAAAGCCAACAGAGAGAGGAAGAGCUGUGAAAGGGAAAGAGACAGCGAGUCUGGACCCUGGACUGUUCAGUAUACACACCUUGGAGAUGUUGCAAGUUCGGUUCUAGACCACCACAAUAAAGCAAAUAGCACAAUAAGGACAUAAUGCAAAAGAAGUUAAAAACUGUAUGUGAAGAUGUCAAGGACUUCCAGUGCUGCUGGAGAAGAAACAGGAGCUCAGGUGAGGCAUCCGAGGCUUCGUGCUGAGGUUGCCUGGCUGUCCCCAAACAUCUCAGCAUCUGUGAGUGAUUACGAGCAGCAGAGGGGAGGAAAAAACGUGUGGAUCAGGUGUGAGCAUUUUUCCUAAAUGUUCUCCUUCCUGCUUUUCCACGCUGGUUUUGGAAAGUCCCUUGUGCUACUCUAAAGUAAACCAAGGUGCCUCCCCCAGCAAUGUGCCG
rnacentral:lncRNA from 1 species